GCAUAGUAUAUGUGACCUUGAUUGCAAUCUACAUAUAUUUGCCCUUUACUGAUGAUCCACUGAUAUUUAGUCUUUUUUAAAGCUGUCUACAUUAAUUAUUAAAUUUUAAAAUUCAUACUCUGACAUCAAGCAAUAUUUGCUGAGAGAAUCCAUAUAAUAUUAUUACAUUGGUGUGAACAAAUAUUAAAUCUUCUGUAUUGUCUAUCUUUGUCUGGCCUAAGCUUUAUGGUAACUUUUCCUUAGAAUAAAUUUGAUUCCAGCAGAUUGUACAUCAAUAUGCACAUGAUACACUGUUGUACCAAGUAACACAAUUUAAAGACAAAUAAGCCAAAUCAUAUUUUCAGCACAGAGCAGUGCAUUUUAUUGGUCUGUUUAGAAUCACAUUCACCAAUCAUUUGGUUCAAGAAAUUCACUUUGUUACUGGUCAUAUUCAACAUUGAACAGCCCACUCUUAUGGAUGUUAAACAGCAAAUGUGUUUGAAACAGGUCAAUUCAGUUGUAUAUAGUGUUUGAUUAGAAUUGGUUUUAUUUCUCUUAAAGAGGAGUUAUAGACAUGCAUACACAUUUGCACAUAGUUUACAGAUGUUUUGCAAUCGUAAAAAAAUGAUAAGUACCUGUAAAAUGAAAUCUCUUGUAGAUUGUAGGAUGUUUGAGUAAUAUAUAUUCACUUGUAUAUAUAUAUACGCUGUAGGUAAACGCUGUAUUUUGAUUUUAUUUUAUUCAUGAAGCACAAGUCUUUGUUAAUGAUAUUUCAUAUGAAAUGGAAACAGAACUGUAUUAUUGCUAGCAGGCUUCGUGAUUUUGUUGAUUUUAAUCCAUUACACCAUGUGAUGCUUAAACUGUAAACUGAAUUGUCAGAUAGUCACUUAAUUUCAUUGUGCAAGUUAUUUUGUUAUUUUAAACCAUUAACAGUUUUUGUUUUAUACUUUGUCUAGAAAAGUAAAACCCAGACAAAAC
rnacentral:misc_RNA from 1 species